rnacentral:rRNA from 1 species
ACGAAUUCGCCCUUUUCCGGUUGAUCCUGCCGGACCCCACUGCUAUCUGGAUAGGACUAAGACACGCUAGUCGAGUGGCUCAGCCAAUACGAGCCACGGCAUACAGCUCAGUAACACGUGGCUAAUCUGCCCUUAGGACGAGAACAACCCCGGGAAACUGGGGCUAAUUCGCGAUAGGUGAAGUACUCUGGGAAUAAGUCUACACCUAAAAAGUUCAGCGUUAUGCUCGUUGACGCCUAAGGAUGAGGCCGCGACCGAUCAGGUUGUUGGUGAGGUAAUGGCUCACCAAGCCUUUUACCGGUGCGGGCCGUGAGAGCGGGAGCCCGGAGAUGGGCACUGAGACAAGGGCCCAGGCCCUACGGGGCGCAGCAGUCGCGAAAACUUUGCAAUACACGAAAGUGUGACAGGGGCUAUCCCGAGUGCCAUCCGCUGAGGAAGGCUUUUACCCAGUCUAGAACGCUGGGGGAUAAGGAGAGGGCAAGUCUGGUGUCAGCCGCCGCAGUAAUACCAGCUUCUCCGAGUGGUGUGGAUGUUUAUUGGGCCUAAAGCAUCCGUAGCUGGCUAAGUUAGUCUUUUGUUAAAUCCACCGAAUUAAUCGUUGGAUCGCGGGGGAUACUGCUUGGCUAGGGGACGAGAGAGGCAGACGGUAUUUCCGGGGUAGGGGUGAAAUCCUAUAAUCCCGGGAAGACCACCACCCCCGGGGGAGAGCUGUCUGCUAGAACGCGCCCGACGGUGAGGGAUGAAAGCUGGGGGAGCGAACCGGAUUAGAUACCCGGGUAGUCCCAGCUGUAAACGAUGCAAACUAGGUGUUUGAACGGCCACGUGCCGUUCUAGUGCCGCAGGGAAGCUGUUAAGUUUGCCGCCUGGGGAGUACGAUCGCAAGAUUGAAACUUAAAGGAAUUGGCGGGAAGGGCGAAUCGC